rnacentral:rRNA from 1 species
CCCUUAGAGUUUGAUCCUGGCUCAGAUUGAACGCUGGCGGCAUGCCUAACACAUGCAAGUCGAACGGCAGCGCGGGGAGCUUGCUCCCUGGCGGCGAGUGGCGGACGGGUGAGUAAUGCAUAGGAAUCUGCCCAGUAGCGGGGGAUAACCCGGGGAAACUCGGACUAAUACCGCAUACGCCCUACGGGGGAAAGCAGGGGAUCUUCGGACCUUGCACUAUUGGAUGAGCCUAUGUCUGAUUAGCUUGUUGGUGGGGUAACGGCUUACCAAGGCGACGAUCAGUAGCUGGUCUGAGAGGACGAUCAGCCACACCGGGACUGAGACACGGCCCGGACUCCUACGGGAGGCAGCAGUGGGGAAUAUUGGACAAUGAGGGCAACCCUGAUCCAGCAAUGCCGCGUGUGUGAAGAAGGCCUGCGGGUUGUAAAGCACUUUCAGAAGAGAAGAAAAGCGCAGUGAUAAUACCGCUGUGUCUUGACGUAACCUUCAGAAGAAGCACCGGCUAACUCCGUGCCAGCAGCCGCGGUAAUACGGAGGGUGCAAGCGUUAAUCGGAAUUACUGGGCGUAAAGCGUACGUAGGCGGUUGAAUUAGUCGGAUGUGAAAGCCCCGGGCUUAACCUGGGAAUUGCAUUCGAUACUGUUCGGCUAGAGUGUGGAAGAGGGAAGUGGAAUUCCAGGUGUAGCGGUGAAAUGCGUAGAUAUCUGGAGGAACAUCAGUGGCGAAGCGACUUCCUGGUCCAACACUGACGCUGAGUACGAAAGCGUGGGGAGCAAC